UUUCCGUAGGUGAACCUGCGGAAGGAUCAUUAACGAGUUAGGGUCUUCUAGACACGACCGCCCAACCCUUUGUUUACUGAACCAUUGUUGCCUCGGCGGGUCCGUCUUACGACCGCCGGGGGAUCGCCGCGCGGCGCCCCCUGGCCAGCGCCCACCGAUAGCCCAACCUUUAAAACCCCUUGUUAAUAGUGUCUUAUGUUUAAAUUUAUGAUUAAACAAUCAAAACAAAACUUUCAACAACGGAUCUCUUGGUUCUG
rnacentral:misc_RNA from 1 species